GUCAUCAGUUACUAACAGGCAAUGCUGAGGACUCUGAUGAGACUGCCAUCGCAAGAUGUGAGGAAGGGAGGGAUGACGUCAAAUCAGCACGGCCCUUACGUCCGGGGCUACACACGUGUUACAAUGGGAGGUACAGCAGGCAGCCAACCCGCGAGGGCGAGCUAAUCCCGUAAACCCUGCCUCAGUUCAGAUUGCAGGCUGCAACUCGCCUGCAUGAAGGCGGAAUCGCUAGUAAUCGCAGGUCAGCAUACUGCGGUGAAUCCGUUCCCGGGCCUUGUACGUCGACGCGGC
rnacentral:rRNA from 1 species